GCCCCUAGUCCUUGACAUUUUUUUUUUUUUGCUAUUCUUUAGCAAAAUAUUGGCUGUCGCUUUUUCAUUUUAUAUAUUUGGAUAUUGAGAAUUUAGUAAUGCUUUUAUAAAAAGAUGGACGUUGAACUGUCAUUUCUGCUGCUUCUUUUUCACUUAUUGUUUUAUGUCCCACUGGCUUAGGCAAUCAUGGGAAAGAAUGGCUUUGGGAAGGCCAUCUUGCGGAUGAUUAGUAUUCUUUCAUUUUGACAUUGAUCACUUAUUGGUGGCUGGUUCUUUGUAAGAUUUUCUUGCAGUCUAAUACAUUUGAUUGUUAUUUUCAGGUUUUGUAGUUUGAGAAGAUUUCUCACAGGUGACAUGCUUGUGGAGCUUAAGGAGAUUGUGGGAAAUAGGGGAGGAAAGUAGAAGACAAUUUGGAGGUUUCCCCUAAUCAGGAGGUCUUUGGUGAGGGGUGCCUUGGUGGAAUUAUGAACAAGCAGAGUUUGAGAUAAGGACUGUAUAAUUCUGCUCAACUUGCAUCUGGUUUAAAGGCUUGCAUGUGCUAUUGUCUGAUGCAUCCUUAAGACGAGAAACAUCAAUGAGUCGGUCAUGCGCAUCUUAAAGGUUUAGCCGGAAAAUUCUAUUUUUGCACUAGACAAUUGUGGCUAUAGUUCAGCAAGCAAAUUUUCACCAGAAGUAAGUUAUCUCAAUGAUUUAUAGGUGUUUUGCAACUACUUUUGAUUGCCAUAAAAACCAAAUUUCUUGUAGUGAAAACUUGGGGACAAGAGAACAAUUGGCAUUAAAAAUUGGCAAAUAUGAAGAAAUAUUUUUUCGAGCCAAAAGAACCACCAACCUGAAGAUUUAAUCAUUGGAUACUUGUGUAUAAUGAAAUGGAUCUAGUUUCGAUUAAGUCACCACAUCAAAAGGAGGCUAUUGAGAAGAUUGUAGCAGACAUGUUCUCAACAAUAAUAGAAGAAAAAAGAGAGAUUAAAACAAUAUUAUGUUCAAACAACCCACAAUCAGAUUAAUUAGAAUAAAAAAUAGAACAAUUUUUUUUCCUAAGAUAACUGUAUGUAUGGCAUGAAAAUUGCAAGGACUUGUUCAGUUCUCCUUAAGAUCCUGCAGCCUCCUCUGCAUAACUCUAUUUAAAAAAGAUGAAUGCAUGCAUGCUUGCCCUGAAGCACUUGAUACUACACUUCUCACGAAAUCCAUAACAUAACCUGAGAAUAAGGUUCAAAAGUGAGCAAAAUCACAUUUAUUUUCAAUGUUGAAACAGAAUCAUUGACUUUAAAAGUACUUGGAGCUUUCAAAACUGUUUCUAAAACUUCAAUUGAAAUUUUCUUUUAUUAAUUUGAUUUUACCAUAGUUUUGCAUCAAUAUCUUUCCACCAUUUAUAAUGUCUUCUCAAACUUCUCUUAACUUGAGCACCAUUAAACAAACUCUCAGCCCUUUAUCCCUUGGAACCCUAUGCAAGUCUCUGGCUAUUUCAGGUCUAGUCUAGUUUUUGCUCGAAACUUGCUUUAUUAACCCUCCUAAUUACCAACCUUCCAAUCUCUUAUGAACCAUAAAGAAGCAAUAUCCUUCCUCAACUCCCAUUAUCACGAAUUCUCCUACCAACGUCAGCCACAUUGUGUUUGGCAUGGUUGGUUCCAUGAACACAUGGAAGUACAAGAAACCAUACAUUGAAGCUUGGUGGCGACCACACAUCACUUGGGGAUAUCUUUUCCUAGACACCCACGCCGGAGUUCCAACCUUGGCCUUCAACUUCUACUCCUUUUUGUGUCAAUGAAAACAUCAAUAAACUGAAAGUUUACCCUAAAAUUGUGAGGCCGGUUCAAGUUCAAAUAGUACGCACAAUAAUGGAGACAUUUAGACAGGGAGACGAAGAUGUGAGAUGGUAUGUAAUGGCAGACGAUGAAACUGUCCUGUUUGUGGAUAACUUAGUUGAGGUUCUAGCCAAGUAUAACCAUUCUAUAUACUACUAUAUUGGGUCAAAUUCAGAGUGUGUCGAGUCUAACUUUGAUUUCUCAUUUGAAAUGGCAUUUGGUGGUGCCGAGUAUGCUUUGAGUAACCCUUUAGUGCAAGCAUUGGCAACCAAGUUAGACAAUUGUGUUGAGCGAUAUCCUCACAUGUUUGUCAGUGAUUUUACAUUACACUCUUGUUUGGCUGAUUUAGGAGUUUCCUUAACUCGAGAGAAAGGGUUUCAUCAUGUAAUUGCAAAAAGCUUCUCUAAUUCAGUUUGCUACUAUAUGUGAUUUUGCACCAAUACUUGCUAUUCUUUCUGAACCAAAAGUUUCGAGCAUUUAAAUCAUUUUAUCAAAGUCACAUUUGUUGACGUGGCACAUUUUGAUUGGUUUUGUGUAUCAUCACUUAAAUGACAACCACUUACGAUGUGCCAAAAAGCCAUUGUAAUUGGGGAUGAUAUAUUUGAGAUUAAAAUCGACAUUUAUCUUUUCGAUACUAUGGUAGGAUUAGACCAUUCUAUACAGUUAAAUAACAUAUAAAAGCUAUUCCAAAUAUGGCAAUGAAACAAAUACUCUUAUAUAUGGUUUUCCAUCACAAACUAAGCCUUGUGGGUAUUUGUGACUACAGAUUGAUCUACACCAUGACGUGCAUGUCACGUCUUUUAUCAACUCACCCACAGUCUCCUUUCCUCUCCCUCCACCACAUUGACACCAUAAACCCAAUCUUCCCCACCAUGAAUCGUUGAGAAUCAAUAAACCACUUCAUGAAGGCUGCAACAGUGGACCAAUCACGUCUUCUUCAACAAACCAUUUGCUACCACAGGCCAAGCAAUUGGUCUUUCUCCAUUUCAUGGGGUUACUCGGCUUAUAUAUAUCAAAACAUACUCCCUCGGAGCAUUUUGUGGAGACCACUCGAGACAUUUAGGCCACGUUAGGCCACCAUUAUACAUGUUCAACACCGGGUGGCCCUCCAACAAUCCCUGUGAAGCUCCUCAUGCUUUUUUUCGUGAUUCUAUUGAAUAUUAUACUCAACAGAACCAGAUUGUUACAACCUAUAUAAUAAGAAGAUCAGUGCAUGGUUUGCCGGCUUGUUCAUUCACUUGUAAUCAUUCUGCAGAUGCCAUCACCAAAAUUCAGGUGUUUUCUCCAGCAACAACACCCAUGGAAGUAAAUUCUUUAUAUUCUUAUGAUUUUUAACCAGAACAUUCAUUUUUUGUAGUUCACUUAAAUAACUUGGGAAAUCUUGUCUUCUACUUUGAUAAGAUCGGAGGAAGAGACUGCUGUGACAUUCUAUACACGACUAGCAAAAAUGUUACAGAAGUGAAAUAUAGGCCUUGUGGGAAGGAUGAAGUAAUUGCCUGACUUCAACAUCAAAUUACAGAACGUCUUGUAUUUUUUAUUUUUUUUAGUUUUUUUCAUUCAUUCAUUUUCUUU